AAAAGUCCCAAGUAUAAAUUGCACUCGUAUAGCUGCUGCACCGUCGCAUUGCUUCAUUGUGUACAAGGCAAGCAAGUUUCUCAAUAUUUUUUCGAAUUACAUACUGCCCACUCGGGGAUCUAUUUGACAAUAUGGAUGAGGCUUGAUUUUGAAACCCAAGUUUCUGAAAACUCCACCGUAGAAUUGAAAAAAUAGAAAAACCGUCUUCUCUUACUAAAUUUCCUUUUUUACAAUCGUUCAAAAAGUCUUGCUUACGAAGCCAAACCCCUUGCUGGAUCCAGUAAGCCUAUAUGCUUAUUAGCUUCAAAAAAAAUGCUUAAUUCACGUACCGCAACAGCACCAAGGCUCAAAGGUCUACCUAAAGCAGGACUUGAAAACGCACUUUCAAAAGUCUCAUCGAAAACUAAGAUUAUCCUAGAAUUCAACUUCCCAGACCAUGCGGAUGUUUCAAUUGCUUCUCUCCAAGUAUUUACGUUUGCCAAAAAUCCUUCAGGAUUUUUUAUAAACAGACUCGUAAAGUCAGAAUACAGGCUUUUUAAACGAGUUUUUGUAAAAAUUCCUUUAUUAACAGAAAAUUCCAAAGCAUUGACUUUCUCCUUUUUUCCCAUUCUGUCGUAUAUUCCUGAAGCUACCUGCGUGGUUUACUAUAUACAGUUUUCAAACAGAAUUAAUGGUAUGAGGUGACUUGUCACUUGUACUUUUGUAAUGUUACAAAUUGCUAAAUUUGGAGUUCUAAUAAGGUGCUGAUGAUUUGUUUUCAAAAAUUCAGACAAUGAACAAUUUAUUCUAAAACUGAUAAGAUAGACAAGUUAUAAUAACAUCA